rnacentral:rRNA from 1 species
UACGGGGGGGGCAAGCGUUGUUCGGAAUUACUGGGCGUAAAGGGCUCGUAGGCGGCCAACUAAGUCGGAUGUGAAAUCCCCAGGCUUAACCUGGGAACUGCAUCCGAUACUGGAUGGCUUGAAUCCGGGAGAGGGAUGCAGAAUUCCAGGUGUAGCGGUGAAAUGCGUAGAUAUCAGGAGGAACACCGGUGGCGAAGGCGGAUCUCUGGGCCUGUUCUGACGCUGAGGCGCGAAAGCGUGGGGAGCAAACAGG